AUUGAACGCUGGCGGCAGGCCUAACACAUGCAAGUCGAACGGUAACAGGAAGAAGCUUGCUUCUUUGCUGACGAGUGGCGGACGGGUGAGUAAUGUCUGGGAAACUGCCUGAUGGAGGGGGAUAACUACUGGAAACGGUAGCUAAUACCGCAUAACGUCGCAAGACCAAAAAGGGGGACCUUCGGGCCUCUUGCCAUCGGAUGUGCCCAGAUGGGAUUAGCUAGUAGGUGGGGUAACGGCUCACCUAGGCGACGAUCCCUAGCUGGUCUGAGAGGAUGACCAGCCACACUGGAACUGAGACACGGUCCAGACUCCUACGGGAGGCAGCAGUGGGGAAUAUUGCACAAUGGGCGCAAGCCUGAUGCAGCCGUGCCGCGUGUAUGAAGAAGGCCUUCGGGUUGUAAAGUACUUUCAGCGGGGAGGAAGGGAGUAAAGUUAAUACCUUUGCUCAUUGACGUUACCCGCAGAAGAAGCACCGGCUAACUCCGUG
rnacentral:rRNA from 1 species